AUUGAGCGCUGGCGGCAGGCCUAACACAUGCAGGUCGAGCGGAUGAACGGAGCUUGCUCCUGGAUUCAGCGGCGGACGGGUGAGUAAUGCCUAGGAAUCUGCCUGGUAGUGGGGGAUAACGUCCGGAGACGGGCGCUACUACCGCAUACGUCCUGAUGGAGCAAGUGGGGGAGCUUCGGACCUCACGCUAUCAGAUGAGCCUAGGUGGGAUUAGCUAGUUGGUGGGGUAAAGGCCUACCAAGGCGACGAUCCGUAACUGGUCUGAGAGGAUGAUCAGUCACACUGGAACUGAGACACGGUCCAGACUCCUACGGGAGGCAGCAGUGGGGAAUAUUGGACAAUGGGCGAAAGCCUGAUCCAGCCAUGCCGCGUGUGUGAAGAAGGUCUUCGGAUUGUAAAGCACUUUAAGUUGGGAGGAAGGGCAGUAAGUUAAUACCUUGCUGUUUUGACGUUACCAACAGAAUAAGCACCGGCUAACUUCGUG
rnacentral:rRNA from 1 species